AGGGACUAUUACAAUAACAUAUGAAGGCUGCACGCAACAGGCGGCAAGGCUGGAGUAUUUUAUUACCCUUGUCUUUUGCGCACUUGUUGUUUCCUGGGCGGGUUCGCCCGCCUCCAGGACCACAUGAUAAACCUUUUUUAUGCAGUUGCAAUCAGCGUCAGUACAACAAAUGUAAAUCAUUUACAACUUUCAACAACGGAUCUCUUGGUUCUGGCAUCGAUGAAGAACGCAGCGAAAAUGCGAUACGUAGUGUGAAUUGCAGAAUUCAGUGAAUCAUCGAAUCUUUGAACGCACAUUGCGCCCUUUGGUAUUCCAAAGGGCAUGCCUGUUCGAGCGUCAUUUGUACCCUCAAGCUUUGCUUGGUGUUGGGCGUUUUUUAGUCUUUGGUUUUGUCCAAAGACUCGCCUUAAAACGAUUGGCAGCCGGCCUACUGGUUUCGCAGCGCAGCACAUUUUUGCGCUUGCAAUCAGCAAAAGAGGACGGCACUCCAUCAAGACUCUAUAUCACUUUUGACCUCGGAUCAGGUAGGGAUACCCGUGAACUUAAGCAUAUCAUAAGC
rnacentral:rRNA from 1 species